rnacentral:lncRNA from 1 species
GGAGCAGUGAUCUUCAGUUCAAAGUCACAGCUGGCCCAAGGUAAUAAAACAGCAGUGCACGGUCGUAAAGUUCUUGCGAGAGUGCUGUGGUCUCCUGAAGUGUGGGACAUGCCAGGUCAUGGACACUCUGACAGCUUAUGGACCAAAGUAUCUCAAAGACCAUGGCAUCACCCAUAACAGCAGGACUUGAAGAAGCAGUGGUGAGAUAUAGGUAAAAAGACAAGAAAAUUAUUCUCCCCAUCCCAGCUCCAACUGGAUCUGAUACUGUAUAGGAUCUUAGUGCUUAGUAGCAUAGAGAGUAUUAGUCCCUCUUACACAGGACUCCUUUAUUAUGUACACGAA